rnacentral:rRNA from 1 species
ACGCUCGACACCUACGGGAGCAGCAGUCGGGAAUAUUGCGCAAUGGAGGGAACUCUGACGCAGUGACGCCGCGUAUAGGAAGAAGGUUUUCGGAUUGUAAACUAUUGUCGUUAGGGAAGAGAAAGGACAGUACCUAAGGAGGAAGCUCCGGCUAACUACGUGCCAGCACGCCGAGUAUCNGAGCGGNNGANAG